GGGGCCGACCUGGUUUCGACGUGGGUACGGAAUUGGAGUAGGGCAUGCCGAGCACCAGUUCGCUCGUAAAACCACUGGAAACAAAGUAACUGCGAACGACUCUACGUACGCCCUCGCCGCUUAACACCGGUGAGCCUCUCAACGGUUGGCCGAUGGGCCGGGCCCGCAAGGGCUGAGAGGUAAUCUACAUUGGCUGGUAUCCGAUGGGGUCACUCAGUCGGGUACGAGAUCUAGUGACUGGCGUUGCCUGAAGGGUGUUCCUGCCCGUCAGCGACGUGAGAUUCAAAUCAGAGAACUACGCAUGUAGAACUACCUGAGGAUGGCUUGCGGACGGGGGUUCAAUUCCCCCCGGCUCCACCA
rfam:Leptothrix cholodnii SP-6, complete genome.